rnacentral:rRNA from 1 species
AUUGAACGCUGGCGGCAUGCUUUACACAUGCAAGUCGAACGGGCUUAGGGGCUUGCUCCUAAGUUAGUGGCGAACGGGUGAGUAAUGCAUCGGAACGUACCGUGUAGUGGGGGAUAACCCGGCGAAAGUCGGAUUAAUACCGCAUACGAUCUAAGGAUGAAAGCAGGGGAUCGCAAGACCUUGCGCUAUACGAGCGGCCGAUGUCGGAUUAGCUAGUUGGUAGGGUAAAGGCCUACCAAGGCAACGAUCCGUAGCGGGUCUGAGAGGAUGAUCCGCCACACUGGGACUGAGACACGGCCCAGACUCCUACGGGAGGCAGCAGUGGGGAAUUUUGGACAAUGGGCGAAAGCCUGAUCCAGCCAUGCCGCGUGAGUGAAGAAGGCCUUCGGGUUGUAAAGCUCUUUUGUCCGGGAGCAAAUCCUGUUCACUAAUACUGAGCGGGGCUGAGAGUACCGGAAGAAUAAGCACCGGCUAACUACGUGCCAGCCGCCGCGGUAACAC